UGCGCCGGAGCAGGGGCCUGAGUCCAGGCCGCGCGGGCCGCGAACUUGUCGAGCUGCGCGUGCGGCCAGUGCUCAGCCUGCCCAGUUCCGGCCCCGCGCU
rnacentral:pre_miRNA from 1 species